rnacentral:piRNA from 1 species
UGAAAGUGAAGCUGUGCAAGAGAAGGC